rnacentral:rRNA from 1 species
GACGAACGCUGGCGGCGUGCCUAAUACAUGCAAGUAGAACGCUGAAGGAGGAGCUUGCUUCUCCGGAUGAGUUGCGAACGGGUGAGUAACGCGUAGGUAACCUGCCUGGUAGCGGGGGAUAACUAUUGGAAACGAUAGCUAAUACCGCAUAACAGUAGAUGUUGCAUGACAUUUGCUUAAAAGGUGCAAUUGCAUCACUACCAGAUGGACCUGCGUUGUAUUAGCUAGUUGGUGAGGUAACGGCUCACCAAGGCGACGAUACAUAGCCGAACUGAGAGGGGGGUCAGCCACCCUGGGAGGGAGACACGGCCCAGACUGCUUCGGGAGGGAGCAGUAGGGAAUCUGGGGGAAUGGGCGGAAGUCUGACCGAGCAACGCCGAGGGAGGGAAGAAGGUUGUCGGGUCGGAAAGCUCUGUUGUAAGGGAAGAACGAGUGUGAGAGUGGAACGUUCACACUGUGACGGUAACUUAUCAGAAAGGGACGGCUAACUACGUG